UAGUCCACGCUGUAAACGAUGGUCACUAGAUGUUCGAUACUUCGGUAUUGAGUGUCCAAGGGAAACCGAUAAGUGACCCACCUGGGGAGUACGUCGGCAACGAUGAAACUCAAAGGAAUUGACGGGGGCCCGCACAAGCGGUGGAGCAUGUGGAUUAAUUCGAUGAUACGCGAGGAACCUUACCAGGGCUUAAAUGAUAAUUGACCGUCGCCGAAAGGUGUCUUUCUUUUAGACAAGUAUCAAGGUGCUGCAUGGCUGUCGUCAGCUCGUGCCGUGAGGUGUUGGGUUAAGUCCCGCAACGAGCGCAACCCCUAUCUCUAGUUGCCAGCAAGUAAUGUUGGGGACUCUAGAGACACUGCCUACGUAAGUAGUGAGGAAGGUGGGGACGACGUCAAGUCAUCAUGGCCCUUACGUCCUGGGCUUCACACGUGCUACAAUGGAUGGUACAAAGAGCAGCCACUCAGCGAUGAGGAGCGAAUCUCAAAAACCAUUCUCAGUUCGGAUC
rnacentral:rRNA from 1 species